AGUCGAGCGGUAGCACAGAGGAGCUUGCUCCCUGGGUGACGAGCGGCGGACGGGUGAGUAAAGUCUGGGGAUCUGCCUGAUGGAGGGGGAUAACUACUGGAAACGGUAGCUAAUACCGCAUGACGUCUUCGGACCAAAGUGGGGGACCUUCGGGCCUCACGCCAUGAGAUGAACCCAGAUGGGAUUAGCUGGUAGGUGAGGUAACGGCUCACCUAGGCGACGAUCCCUAGCUGGUCUGAGAGGAUGACCAGCCACACUGGAACUGAGACACGGUCCAGACUCCUACGGGAGGCAGCAGUGGGGAAUAUUGCACAAUGGGGGAAACCCUGAUGCAGCCAUGCCGCGUGUGUGAAGAAGGCCUUCGGGUUGUAAAGCACUUUCAGCGGGGAGGAAGGCAAUGAGCUUAAUAAGUUUGUUGAUUGACGUUACCCGCAGAAGAAGCACCGGCUAACUCCGUGCCAGCAGCCGCGGUAAUACGGAGGGUGCAAGCGUUAAUCGGAAUGACUGGGCGUAAAGCGCACGCAGGCGGUCUGUUAAGUUGGAUGUGAAAUCCCCGGGCUCAACCCGGGAACAGCAUUCAAAACUGACAGGCUAGAGUCUCGUAGAGGGGGGUAGAAUUCCAGGUGUAGCGGUGAAAUGCGUAGAGAUCUGGAGGAAUACCGGUGGCGAAGGCGGCCCCCUGGACGAAGACUGACGCUCAGGUGCGAAAGCGUGGGGAGCAAACAGGAUUAGAUACCCUGGUAGUCCACGCUGUAAACGAUGUCGACUUGGAGGUUGUGGUCUUGAACCGUGGCUUCCGGAGCUAACGCGUUAAGUCGACCGCCUGGGGAGUACGGCCGCAAGGUUAAAACUCAAAUGAAUUGACGGGGGCCCGCACAAGCGGUGGAGCAUGUGGUUUAAUUCGAUGCAACGCGAAGAACCUUACCUACUCUUGACAUCCAGAGAAGACUGUAGAGAUACGGUUGUGCCUUCGGGAGCUCUGAGACAGGUGCUGCAUGGCUGUCGUCAGCUCGUGUUGUGAAAUGUUGGGUUAAGUCCCGCAACGAGCGCAACCCUUAUCCUUUGUUGCCAGCGAUUUGGUCGGGAACUCAAAGGAGACUGCCGGUGAUAAACCGGAGGAAGGUGGGGAUGACGUCAAGUCAUCAUGGCCCUUACGAGUAGGGCUACACACGUGCUACAAUGGCGCAUACAAAGAGAAGCGAGCCUGCGAGGGUGAGCGGACCUCAUAAAGUGCGUCGUAGUCCGGAUUGGAGUCUGCAACUCGACUCCAUGAAGUCGGAAUCGCUAGUAAUCGUAGAUCAGAAUGCUACGGUGAAUACGUUCCCGGGCCUUGUACACACCGCCCGUCACACCAUGGGAGUGGGUUGCAAAAGAAGUAGGUAGCUUAACCUUAUGGGGGGCGCU
rnacentral:rRNA from 1 species